GACGAACGCUGGCGGCGUGCUUAACACAUGCAAGUCGAACGGUAAGGCCCUGCUUUUGUGGGGUGCUCGAGUGGCGAACGGGUGUGUAUCACGUGAGUAACCUGCCCUUUACUUUGGGAUAACUUCAGGAAACUGGGGCUAUUACCGCAUAUGAGCUCCUGCUGCAUGGUUGGGGUUGGAAAAUUUCGGCGUUUGGGGAUGGACUCGCGGCUUAUCAGCUUGUUGGUGAGGUAGUGGAUUAACACGGCUUUGACGGGUAGCCGGACUGAGAGGGUGACAGGCCACAUUGGGACUGAGAUAGGGGCAAGAGUGAAACGGGAGGCAGCAGUGGGAAAUAUAGCAAAAAGGGCGGAAGCAUGGUGCAGCAACGCCGCGUGCGGGAUGACGGCCUUCGGGUUGGAACCCGCUUGCGCGUGUGACGAUGCGUGAGUGACGGUAAUGGGUAAAGAAGCAACGGCUAACUACGUG
rnacentral:rRNA from 1 species